ACUCCUAGGCGGGGCUCCUGCCCUUCUCCCAUCCCACGCGCAGCCAGGAGCCGGGCGGCCCCGGGCACUCGCUGGGAGGCAGCUGCGAUUAGCGCCCUAAUCCCCAGCGCAGACCGCGCAGAGACCGGAGCGGGAGCGGGGCCGCGGCGGGAGCCCCCCACCGUCCCGGGCAGUCCAGACGGCCGGGGCAGCGUGGGAACUGGGACCUCGGGGACCCAGCGCGGCGGCUGUCAGCUCUGGGCCUACACACCCAUGGAAGAGAAAAUCCCUGUGAAAUAUAAGGGCCCCUUCUACGUGCUCAAGAUUAAAAAAAAAAAAAAGGAAAAAGUAGCUCUCACAUGCUUUUGGCAAGUUUUUGAACCAGCUGAUGUAUGGGCCAGGUGAUGUAUGGACCCCUGAUAUAUGGAGCAGCUGAUGUAUGGACCCCUGGUAUAUAGACCACUGAUGUGUGAACCUCCUGAUGAGUGACCCACCAAUAUAUGGACCAGUUGAUGUAUGGACCCACUGAUGUAUGGACCAGCUGAUGUAUGCACCCACUCAGGUAUGCACUAACAGAUAUAUGGGCCAGCUGAUGUAUAGACCCCAAUGUAUAGACCAGCUGAUGUGUGAACAUCCUGAUGUAUGCCUCUCUCCCAACCUGAUAUAUGGACUGGUUGAUGUAUGGACCCCCUGAUGUAUGGACCAGCUAAUGUAUGCACCCACUUAGGUAUGGACUAACUGAUGUAUGGGGCAGCUGAUGUAUAGACCCCUGAUGUAUAGACCAGCUAAUGGGUGAACAUGCUGAUGUAUGCCUCUACCCCCGACCUGAUAUAUGGACUGGUUGAUGUAUGGACCCCUGAUGUAUGGGCCUGCUGAUGUUUGGACCAGCUGUGGCUCUCCACUCACUCUGGACCUUCCACCCUGUUCCUCACCUGUACACUGUUCCUCCUGGCCAUUUGAGUGCCUGACAGCCCUUCGGGACCCAGCCCAGGGGUUACUUCUUCUUGGGUGCAUUUUCUUCAAAAAAAUUUUUUUUAGAGAUGGGGUCUUGCUAUGUUGCCCAGACUGGUCUCUAACUCCUGGCCUCAAGCAAUCCUGUCCCACCAUUGACCCAUCUGAAGAUUGGAGAGACCUUAGGCCCAGGGCUGGGGAAUAACCAUAAUUUGCUCUUCAAUUAUUCUGCAAAUACAUAUUGAGUUCCCACAGUGAUGAACACAGUCCUAAGUACUGAGAUGCAAUAGUAGACAGAAUCUCUGUCUUCAUGAGGCUUUCAUAGUCCUAGGAGGAGAUACGUUACAUUUUAUUUAUUCAUUUAAAUAAGUAAAAAUGUGAUGUGACAUGACAUGAUAAAUCAUAAAGCUAUGUAUAAAGAAAAAUAAAGCCAGAUAAAGGAAAUACAAAGUGAAUGACUGGACAAAUGGCCAACAAACAAAUAAAAAGAGGCUCCGUGUCAUUAGUCAUGAGGGAAAUGUGAUUCAAAUCCACAGUGAGCUCACACUUCACACCCAGUAGGAUGGCGAUCAUAAAAAUAACCGGAAAAUAACUUUUGGCAAGAAUGUGGAGAAAUUGGAACCUUCCUACAGUGCUGGUGGGAAUGUGAAAUAGUGCAGCUGCUGU
rnacentral:lncRNA from 1 species